GGGGAGGAGGCUAGAAUGAUCCAUCGGGGGAUGGAUUAGAGACAUCGGUGUGUUCACUUGAAUAUAGGUAUAGACAGAAAUAUAGAAAUGUGGAUACACACAUGUAUUUCUCUGCUUUGUCAGCUGAGAGGGCCUAAAAAGACAGCCCAACAAUGAGCAUACCUUCCCCAGAGCUUGAUUUCUAACACCAUUCUCCAAUAAACCAUGGCUGAGGCAGAAAAUACAGAUGCUCCUCAACUUACAAUGGGGUUAUGUUCUGAUAAACCCAUAAUAAUUCAAAAACACGUGGCUGACUGACAGCUGCAGCUUACUGCCAGUGCCCAGCAUGGCAGCAUACAUACAGUUUCCACUGAAUUUGUAUCGCUUUCACACUAUCAUAAAGUCAAAAGACUGUAAGUUGAACCACUGUAAGUUGGGACCAUCUGUGUGUGAGAUAAUCCUGGAGAAUCUUGUAGUGCCAGAAAGAAAGUGCUCAAAACACACACACACACACACACACACACACACACACACACACACACACACACACAAUGUUGAUGGGGUUAUGGCAAAGUAACACAGGAGCCAACUGAAAGAGAUCCGAAUGGCCAAAGCUGGGACAAUUUGAGCAACAAAAGAAAUAAGGUAGUACUGGAUUAUAACCCUAGGUAAAAAAUAAAUAUUCAUGCAUUCACACUGAUAUA
rnacentral:lncRNA from 1 species